GCGAAGGUCGAAUCCCUGCGCGAACAUGUUAUCAAUUCCCUCGGGGCUCGUAGGUGAAAUGUUGUCCUGCACGGCGAGUCCUGUAACAACUAAACACCGGCAGACCAAAAAGUCGCCGAGGACAAACAUUUUGCCUCGCGCGCUGCAUCCCCCGAGGUGACAAACCACAACGACUCUCGGCAACGGAGAAGAACGUAGCGAAAUGCGAUACUUGGUGUGAAUUGCCCGUGACCCAUCGACUUUGGGCGCAACUUGCGUUCAAAGACUCAUUAGGCUGAGGGAUUCUGCACGUCUGCCUGGGCGUCACGCAUUCGCUCGUUCUUCAUCGAUGCGAGAGCCGAGAUAUCCGUUGUUGAGAGUCGUUUUGGUUACGACGCAUCCCGUGGCAACGUUUGUGGCGCACGGUCGGGGCAAAUGCGAGUCAUCAUUUCGAAGUUUUCCAAGGCACAACCAGCGGUGGGUUGAGUUAUUUGUCAACUGGACGAGCGCACGCGGCGUUGUGGUCGAGGAGCCAGGUCCGGCUAAAUCACCCCGCCCGUUCCCGGGUAUUGGCAGUUACACGAGCUCGCGG
rnacentral:misc_RNA from 1 species